rnacentral:lncRNA from 1 species
GACUCACCGAGCGAAGCCUGCACCGUCUCGGCCGCGGAGAAGGCGAGCAGCGAGCCCUCUUUGGCCAGGAAGCCUUUGCCGUCCUCCGCGUCAGCCUGCAGCGCCUCCGCCUUGUCGAAGUUACCGCCGCCGGGCAGCGGCUGCGGCGCGAACUUGCGGGCCGCUGCCGCCUCCUGGUGCUGGGGCGACGCGGAGAAGCCGCCGGGGAGCGUGGCCAUGAGCGUAGAGCUGCUUAGAAAACGACUGUUCGUGUCAUAAAAGGAUCCUUGUGUUUCGGCGUGAUUAACAAGAUGCAUUCGGGGCACCUCAGCUACCUGCAAAGCGUUCAGAGCGUGGGGACUGCGGAUAAUAAAAGCCUUUAGAGUUUUUCCUCGGCUCCUCGGAUAGAUUUAUGGACAGGAGCGAUAGAUGCAUGGCUUAUCCAUCCUCCGGAUUCCUACCUGCUUAGCUCGUAACAGCCUCAAACUGCAGAGUCCUCCGUGACUCAGCUCGGCCCAGUCUACGCGGGAAAAUCACCGGGCACAGAUGUUUGCAACUUGGUCCCCUCCCCCCUCCAAUUAGGAAAAAUGAAGGGCGCACCCGAAGGGAGAGCUGGGUCCUCCAACUCCAGUUAACUUCGUGAACUUCCCUCCCCUCUUCCCCCCUAGAUGAAGAUAGCUCAGCCCCUGGGCACUUCACUCGACAGGUGCUAGGCUAGUGUCAGGUUCAGAUGAUGCCACUUAAAACCUCAGACAUUCCGAAAAAGUGAUGGUAAUUAAGUUGGCCCCUCGCUUCGGGGUUGUCCCAGGCUGCGCUUGCAUGCAGAUGUAUGAAGGUUGAGGGUGAAAUAGAAAACGCACAAGUAAAUGAAUAUUCAUGCAGCAAACUUGUGCUGGCCUGCCCAGCCCAGCCCAGCCCAAUCCGGAGGAGGAAGCACCGCGAAUGGCGCGCUUCGCUGCCGCCGCCAGAGUCGAGGUAACGGGUGGUCGUGGAGAGGGUACGGUGUGGCCACCCGUGGUCUCGGAGGACGCGGGGAAUCCUGCGGGCCUCGAGGGUCUGGCGCUCCCGCCAGUCGCCCAGUCCUAGGCGACAGGCUGGUUUCUCGGGCAACCGAGUUGUUUUUAUUUACAGGGAUUUUGAGAAGCCCGAUCGUUUGGUCAUUGCCGCAGCUCUUGCUCCUGGCAAUAGUUGGGAAAUAACUUGGGAUGGGUUUUAUUUAUGGAAGGGCAAUUGGGAUUCACACCCAGCUAACCCUGAACAGUCCCUCCCGAGCCCAGGACGCACUUACAAAGGGGCGCUUGUGUAAAAUUCCCCAUCAGACACACUAAUUUGCAAGUAGCAGAAAGCAUUGAAGCCUCAUCUUUUUAAACAUUUUAUUCAGCUUUUUUUUUUUUUUAAUCUGAAAGCCCAAAAUAGACUCCAUGUGGUUCUAAGUGAAGUCAGCCCUUGGCUGGCUUUGAAAUAGCUCCUGCAAUUAUGUAAAAGAGCCAUUCACCAACAGGACGGAAUUAAAAGGGAUCUCGCCCGCUUCCCUUUCAUUGCCAACCUCUCAUGUUUGGCUUUUCAAAGCACUUCCAACACGAUGUCUUUCUCCAGGACAAAAGGCAGAACAAAAAAAGUCCCCAAACUUGUAAAUUGAACGUCAAGGGAACUUUAAACAAUUUAAAGCCCAUAAAUAAUGAUAAAGGGGACUGGCAAAAAAGGCAAACCCAUUCAAUUAAUAGAGUUUCCCAAGCAAAGAUCAAGUGGUUUAUAAAAUAAAAGUCUUUGGUUUCAU